rnacentral:rRNA from 1 species
UACGAAGGGAGCUAGCGUUGUUCGGAAUCACUGGGCGUAAAGCGCACGUAGGCGGAUUUGUCAGUCGGGGGUGAAAUCCCGGGGCUCAACCUCGGAACUGCCUUUGAUACAGCAAGUCUUGAGUUCGAGAGAGGUGGGUGGAAUUCCUAGUGUAGAGGUGAAAUUCGUAGAUAUUAGGAAGAACACCGGUGGCGAAGGCGGCCCACUGGCUCGAUACUGACGCUGAGGUGCGAAAGCGUGGGGAGCAAACAGG